rnacentral:rRNA from 1 species
CAAUAGCGUAUAUUUAAGUUGCUGCGGUUAAAAAGCUCGUAGUUGGAUUUCGGGUGGGAAUGGCCGGUCCGCCGUUUCGGUGUGCACUUGCUACGCCCACCUUGCUGCCGGGGACGUGCUCUUGAGUUCACGCUCGGGACACGGAGUCGGCGAGGUUACUUUGAGUAAAUUAGAGUGUUCAAAGCAGGCCUACGCUCUGAAUACAUUAGCAUGGAAUAACACGAUAGGACUCUGGCCUAUCUUGUUGGUCUGUAGGACCGGAGUAAUGAUUAAGAGGGACAGUCGGGGGCAUUCGUAUUUCAUUGUCAGAGGUGAAAUUCUUGGAUUUAUGAAAGACGAACUACUGCGAAAGCAUUUGCCAAGGAUGUUUUCAUUAA